rnacentral:rRNA from 1 species
UACGAAGGGGGCUAGCGUUGCCCGGAAUCACUGGGCGUAAAGGGUGCGUAGGCGGGUCUUUAAGUCAGGGGUGAAAUCCUGGAGCUCAACUCCAGAACUGCCUUUGAUACUGAGAAUCUUGAGUUCGGGAGAGGUGAGUGGAACUGCGAGUGUAGAGGUGAAAUUCGUAGAUAUUCGCAAGAACACCAGUGGCGAAGGCGGCUCACUGGCCCGAUACUGACGCUGAGGCACGAAAGCGUGGGGAGCAAACAGG